ACCGCUGUUGGGCAACGGAGGCCCACCGCCCUACGAAGGCGCACAAAUGCACGUUCGAAUCGUGUCAGCGGUG
rnacentral:tRNA from 1 species